rnacentral:rRNA from 1 species
GACGAAGGUGGCGAGCGUUGUUCGGAAUCACUGGGCAUAAAGCGCACGUAGGUGGCGGCGUAAGUCGGGUGUGAAAUCCCUCGGCCUAACCGAGGAACUGCGCCCGAUACUGCGUCGCUUGAGGGUCAAAGGGGUGUAUGGAAUUCCCGGUGGAGCGGUGAAAUGCGUUGAUAUCGAUAGGAACUCCGGUGGCGAAGGCGGCAUACUGGACCACAUCUGACGCUGAGGCGCGAAAGCCAGGGGAGCAAACGGG